rnacentral:lncRNA from 1 species
CCACAGCUUGUGAUCCAGUAAGGUGGGGCCAGAAAAUUUGUACUUCUAACAAGUUCUUAAGUGAUGUGAAUGCUGAUGUAGAUAUUUGCUAAUUACCAACAAUAUCCAUAUGAUGGGAAGCCUGUCAGAAUUUCAGUCUCCAUCUCAGACCCAUUGAAUCAGAAUUAGAAUCUUUAUAUUAACCUGAUACCAGGGUAAUUCUUCCAUAUAUGAAAGCUAUAGAAACCCCAAUGAAAGUAUUCUUUUUACAUUUCAAGUCACAUAUUAUUUCUUUACUCAAAAUGGAUUUACAUCUCAAUAAGGUAAAAAUCAUAACCAGGAAAGUUUUGUAUCAACUGACCUCCUGUUAAACCCUCUGAUGCUCUCUCCUACCACACAUCUGCUGUUUCAUUGCCAUUCUGCUGUAUUGGUCUCCUUGCUCUUCCUUGACCCCUCAGCUAUGCUCUGACUCAAGGCAUUGGUUCUUGCUUUUCUCCUAGCCUGGGAUACCCUUUGCCGAGGAACCAAGUUGGAACCUCACUUCCUUUGACACUUUGCACAAAAGUCACUUUAUCAGUUAAGCCUCUUUUACCAAAUAUCUGAUAAUGGUCCCCCUCCCUAACCUAACUCGCCAUGUAUUUCUUAAUCUGCUUUAGUUUUCUGUAUAGCACUGAUCAUGAUCUGAUGUACUAUAUGUUUAUCUAUUUAAUAGCUAGUUUCAUUUCUAGAACAUAAAUUCUUUUGCUAUAGGUAUUUUAACUUGUUCACUUUUUUUUUAAUGUCCAAUGCCUUUAACAGUAUUAGGCACGUUUUAAAAGGUAUAAAAUGUGUUGAAUGAAUAAAGAAGUUUUCAAUAUUUUUCAUAGGACCAGAUCUUGAAAGGGGAAGCAUGAGAGCAUGCUAGUACCAGGGUAUUGAGGUGCAUGGAAAAACAGGUCGUAAUGUUUAGGUUCAAGAUUUUAUUAACGGGGAGACUAGGAUAGAGACUGUCCCAGAAUAUUUCUUAUGUUUCUGCUAAUGAAAAGACUGAUUUGUAAUUUAUGUGUAGUUCAUAAAUGUAAGACACAUUUCUCCAGUUUCAUGCUUCAUUGUAGGAUGGUAGAACAAAAUGACAGAACGUUACUAACGCAUUUACUGUGUGCUUAGGUAUAUUCACACCAGUGGGCCCAGCUGUGACUACUUUUGGCUAAAGAAUUUUAAAUUAAUGGUGAUAAUGUACAGGAGUGUUUACUGUUGGGAGGCUUCCACCAGUGAGAAGAUGCAGGGAUAGGUGUUAGGAUUGUUUUUAUUUAAUGCCUUUGUUAAUGAUCUGGAAGGAAGAGUGAGAAGUUCAUUAAAUUCACUGGUUUACUAAAUUGGGAGGUGCCAGUGACACCAGGAAGAAGAAGAAAAAAUGCAGAAAGCCUUAGGAGGAGUCCGAAAAGAGGGACAUGAGUCAAAGUUCUAUCUCUGAGAUAAGAAAUUGAGAUUCAAAUAAUGUGGAGCAAAUGUAAACAGUUUUCUAUGAAGUUAAUACAUCUGUGAUGGUUUUAGCAUUAACAGUAUUGUGGAAGAUAACAUCUUAAGGCUGCAUUCUGACUCCUCUGCAUCAAGAGUGGCUCAAGCACUUCUAUUAUGUGUAAUAUCCCAUUAUAGAGUUCCUACGUGUAGCAAAAGACAAAUCUUAUUCCUAAACUAUACUUAGAUUUAUAAUAAAAUAUAUAUAGAGGUAUUACAUGGGGUGGCCCAUAUGAGGGAGCAUAAUAAUUCUUAGGGAAGGGAUUGAGAGUGGUUUAGACAGUGGGUCAUAGCUGGAGGGAGAAGUAUUUGUGACUCAGAUAUUCUUUCAGAUUGUGUUAUAGCCCAACCACCAUGCUCAUUUCUGGAUACCAGAAAGAAAUCACUAUAUAAGAGCCAGUAAAGCUAUUAGGUCAAACUGUAUAUAAUUGAUCAUAAAUGGUCAGGUAUUGGACAUUUCCUUUGUUUCAACUAAGGAACAAUUUGAAUCUUGAAGUCACAAAAUACCAGCUAUCUUGCUUUUAAGGGUGGGGGCACCUGUACUUGCAAGAGACCCACCUAGCUUCAAUGCAGACUGGUAUUCCUGAACACCAAGUUUAGGAACUACUAGUGGGUACAACAUUUAUCUCUGCUGAGGGUUAGCAGUGGAAGUGGAGCUUCUACUAAGUUAGCAUCUGUAGGAAAAGAGAAGGAAAAUGAAUUUCAAAAAGUGCCCAGAAGACUAAUCUAUAGAUGAGAUUUAAGGUUUCUCAGAACUAUUUGGGAGUUCCCACAAAGAAGAUACUUGGGGUCAGAAAUACUAAUUUACAAUUCUUAUUUUCCUGUUUAGAUUUUGCUUUAGGCUGUUGUGACACAGAAACUAGAGUUAUACUUGAUAUAGUAGGGACAAAAGGAGGGCAGAGUUUGGAUCUGAAGGACUUCAGGAAUUCUGUAUUUUGGGUCAAGACUAACUGCUCUUCUUUUUCUGCUCUCCUGUAGAAUGGGUCUAUGGCAACAGAUUGCAUUCUCAGAUGUUAAGUGCAGCCAGUUUGGAGGUUCAGAAUGAAGGCAGAACCAUGUAUUGUUGCUGUUGGCAUUGUUUUAACAUGUGUAACUGUGGGAACCUUUAGGAAAACACAUUUUUGGCUCUUCCUCAAACUAGAGUGCUCAGAAAACCAGGCAUUCUUUAUCUUGAGAGCCUGUAAAAUUUUCAGACUCUAGCAUUCUGCAGCUUUAGCUAGAAUAAAGCAUAAGAGAAAGACAUACAUUCUUGUACGCCAGCCUUCCAUUUAGAGUUUCCCUGUUUUGAACUAUGUGAGAAGGAUAUUGUCAACACACUAAAUCACUCCGAUUCUUAGGUGCCUUGGGUGUAACAUGGCAGAAUUGCACCAGAUGCUCUUGAAUGCUUUUUCCCUCAUAUGUGUUCUAUUAUACUACUAUCUUGACACUUUAGUGGAAUAUUAGGUAUUGUUUACAUAUUUCACUUCAGCAGAGUGUUAUUUUUGUAAUGGAAAUAAUAAAAACAACAAAUACAAAUUAAUGAUAAAAAUAGCAAUAAUAAGUAGCUACCAUUUAAUGGUAAUGUAUUGUUCUUGUGGGUCAGACAUUGUGCUAAGGGCUUUUCAUGAAUUACCUGAUUUAAAUCUCAAAUAAAGUUAGGGUUCAUUUAGUGCCCAUAAUAGAGCAUAGAAUAACAAAGCCAAGAGGGCUAGAAUUAGACACUUUUUAAAGUUUUUAUCAUCCUUAUCACCACCAUCCAAUUGUACACAGUGGAUUUUUCAGCUAAUAGAGAAAUGCAAUAAUAGAAGAUGCAAUGAAUAAAAUGAAAAUGCAGUCAGUGGGUUUUUGUUUGUUUGUUUGUUUUAGGAGAAACAUAAUUUGGGAAGUAAGAUAGGAGGGCUUUCUCAUGUAACCAAGAAAGUACCAUCAACAUAAUUCUCUUUUCUUAUUCUAUAGAACCGAAAAAGAAAUAAGAGUGUAGAUGGACUUUAUCAAGAUCCCUAUGGCCACUCUAUCUAUAAACAUUUCUCAAGAGGCCAGUUUCAAUGCUAUCUCAUUGGCUUUUGCCAUGUUUAAAUUUAUGAUGAACACCUAAGAGAAACAAGCUAGAUUAAAAUGAUUUUUUCCAGUCUUUUAAAACACUGAAACAUAGUGUACGGACCAUUGGUUUUUAUCCAUGUGUCCUCUCUCUAGUAUUUCAGAAACUGUACUCAAAGUAAUUGGUAGCUCUAGACUCCUAUUCUCACAGCUAUCAAGGUUCCCUAAUCUAAGUAGAUAGUCAGCUAUCCUUAAUAGAUGAUUUAUAGCUGGGCAAAUAGAGUUCUUAGACACCUGGAGAGGUAAGUGAAUGUGCAGUAUUGAGCAGCUUAAAACAUUUUUUACAGAUUUUGUUUUAGGUAAAAAUGCAAGACAUUUUCUUCUAUAGAUUUCUUAAACAUAUUGUAAGGGCGAGAAAAUCCAUAGGAUAUUGAUUUUUUAAAUGUUUUUAAAAAUUAGAUAUUGGGAAAGCCUCUUAUAUUUAUAUUUUUCUUGGAAAACUGUUUAUUUCACCCAGGAUCAAGAGAAGGGAAAAAAAAAGGCCUGUACAUUCAUGUGUAGUUCCAAAUUUAAAGUCAGGUUUGAAAUGGUUUUUAAGACAUGACCACACAAAAAUAAGUCUAUGGUUUCAAAGUAAGCUUUAGGGGGAGGCAGGCAAGCUGUUUCUCUGGAAGACUCCUUAUUCCCUUAUUCAAAACAGAGCAGCAAGCAAAUAAACAGAACCCUCCAGUAGUAGCACCAAAUGGCAGCUUGGUACAUAAUUCUACAGAAUUUAUAGUUUUAGCAAUACUAGAGUGGGUAUCACUUCAUGUUUUCCUUUUUCUUUAUGCUACAAAACAAAAGAACUCUGUUAAAAGAGUAAUGAAUUGUGUAGGCUGUAAUUGCUAUUCUGUUGGUAACUGUUGCAGACUUGCACUGCUUCAGAGCAAGCUGGAAAUACCUUGUACUAUGUAAUCUGCUGAUCCAUACUUGUUGGUAAACAAACUGGAAAAGGAGAAAUCACUGUCUGCUAGAAUUGUUUUUAAAGAGUACUCUGAAUACAUAGACUAAAAGUUGAGUUAGUUUUACCGAGUUUUAAGUAAUUUUUGUAAUGACUCAAAAAAUAAAUUAAAUCCCAUAGUAUGAGGUAAAGGGUGAUGUUAUAUGAGGAACAAUACAGAGAAACCUUUUAUUUCUUUCCCUCUGUAUUCCCUCCCUCCCUCCCUUCCUCUAUCACCUAUAUAUCUAUAUACACAUCUACUUAGUUAUAUAUGUUUUUAUUUUUAUACUUAUGUAGGGAUUUGUUACAUCCUAGUUAGGUAUGGCCCUGUGAACAUAGAAGUGCCAAUUUCUCUUCCUUUCUCUUCCUUCCCUGACCGUUUCCCUCAAAAAUUCUUUACAAUCAAAUCAUAGACUUGGAGAAUAGACUUGUGGCUGCCAGGGGGAGAGGGAGGGAGUGGGAGGGAUCUGGAGCUUGGGGUAACCAAUGCAAACUAUUGCUCUUGGAAUGGAUUUACAAUGGGAUCCUGCUGUGUAGCAUUGAGAACUAUGUCUAGAUACUUACAACACAACAAUGGGAGGAAAAAUAUGUAUACAUGUAUGUGUAAGUUGGUCCCCAUGCUGUACAGUGGAAAAAAAUAAAUAAAUAAAAAUAAAAAAACAAACAAAAACCUGAUUAUGUUAUUUCAUCCUAUACUAUAUGUACAUAUAUUUGCUUGAAUAAACAUAGGUAAAAAUAUUGUUGAGAUGAUUAGAAUGAUAUCAACAAAAGUGUUAGUAGAUAAGAAAUACAUUAUUUUUAAUUAACAUUGCCCUCAUUUAAUAUAUGUUAAAAUAAUGUAGAUCUCUAUUAACUACUUUGAAAAACUUUCUAUUUUUUCCAAAUAAUUGAUUGAAUAGAAAUCACCCCCUUUUUUUUUUUUCAUUUCCAGCAUAAAAUCUUUGAGUGUGAAUCAAACACCUAUUGUUAAAAGAGAUACUCAGGGAGUCCAAUAUUAUGGAAAGAGUAUUAGGUGUCCUUAGUGUCUCAACUAAUAAAUGUUGACUGAUUAACGAGGCACAAAAAGAACACUUUUAGAAAGUAUUUUAUUUUUGUAGUAUUAGUACACAUUCACUUUUUUUAUAUUUGUUUCUGAGCAUAUGUAAUGUAGGUGUCAACAGUUGAGUUGAGGCAAGAAGUGAAAGCAGGGAUACAAUUAACAUUUAUUAAGCAUCAGGAGUGUGUUUGUGCUUUACAUACACUAAUUUUUAUGAACACAUUAAGCAUUACUAUUGCCAUGCUACAUUUGAAGACUUCUACAGAUAAUGAAACCCAUUAUUUAAAAGGUUAUUAAAUAGUGAGUAUGCGCUUAUGUCUACUUUGCUCCCAAAGGCCCUUUCCAUUACUUUCUUUGCUG